UACGUAGGUGGCAAGCGUUGUUCGGGAUUAUUGGGCGUAAAGGGCGCGUAGGCGGUUUGUUAAGUCGGUUGUGAAAGCCCGGGGCUCAACCCCGGAGAGUCGACCGAUACUGGCAGACUAGAGUACAGAAGAGGUAGCUGGAAUUCCUGGUGUAGCGGUGAAAUGCGUAGAUAUCAGGAGGAACACCUGAGGCGAAGGCGGGCUACUGGGCUGAUACUGACGCUGAUGCGCGAAAGCCAGGGGAGCAAACGGG
rnacentral:rRNA from 1 species